rnacentral:rRNA from 1 species
GCAUAUCCAAAAAGCGGAGGAAAAGAAACCAACAGGGAUUGCCUCAGUAACGGCGAGUGAAGCGGCAAAAGCUCAAAUUUGAAACCCUCGGGAUUGUAAUUUGAAGAUUUGGCAUUGGAGAAAGCUAACCCAAGUUACUUGGAAUAGUACGUCAUAGAGGGUGACAACCCCGUCUGGCUAACCGUUCUCCAUGUAUUGCCUUAUCAAAGAGUCGAGUUGUUUGGGAAUGCAGCUCAAAGUGGGUGGUAAACUCCAUCUAAAGCUAAAUACUGGUGAGAGACCGAUAGCGAACAAGUACUGUGAAGGAAAGGUGAAAAGAACUUUGAAAAGAGAGUGAAAUAGUAUGUGAAAUUGUUGAUAGGGAAGGAAAUGAGUGGAGAGUGGUUUAGGUUUCAGCCUUCUUUCGAGGGGGUGUACUACCAACGCCGAGUCAUUGUCAGCGAGACAGGGGUUAUAAACGGGUUGCCUUCUGGCUUCUCACCUAACCCCUCCACUGCCGACAACGACAUAAUCCACCCAUUUCACCCGUCUUG